AUGUGGCGGGAUAGAAGCAGAGAGACAAAUAAGGAAACUAUUAUUCCAGGCAACUGGAAUGGUACUGGUUUUGACCAUAAUGGUAGAAGGAGAAGUUCCAGCGGGUCGGAGGAGAGGGAGCCCAGAAGAGAAGAGUGCACCUGGCCGGCAGCAUGGAUGAAGGACAGCAGAAUGGGUGGAGGAGGUCCCACAGAAGUGAUGGUAUCACAGGUUAGAGGGGAAAAGAAAGAAAGGCGACCUGCAGUGUGGGCCAAGUUUGUGGCUGGCAACAUGCUGAGCACCUAACGUGCACUAUCUCAUCUCAUCCAAAUAAUGACUUUACAAGAUAGAUAUUAUGAUGGCUUCCAUUUUGUUGAAGCUGAGAGCUAAGUCCUUUUUUUAGGGUAAUGGAACUACUAAAUGAUAGAACAAGAAUUCCUGCCUGGUUUCAUACAACUCUCAGUCUAACUCCUUAUCCCGUACCGUGGUACCAUUUGAAGAAAAAAAACUCUGUUGAUCCUCAAAACCAUGGUUAGUUUUCUUAUUAUGACUUGGUAACAAGCACACUAAAAUAAUACUAUUAGUUUUCAUCUUGGCCUAAUGUGUCUUUUAUUCUGUGAGGCCAUAUUCCCUUUUCCUAAAUCGUAUAUGGAUUGAAAAUCUGUUUUUUUUUGUGUGUGUGUGUGGGUUUUUUUGAAUAAUUAGACUGAACUCUAUGUUAAAUAUGAUGUUGGUAGUGGAAAUGUACACAUUUAGAGUGUAAUGUUCGGUGUGUCCCUUGUGCCCUAAUGAUUAGGGUGGAGAGGCAUGGAGAUGAAAUUUGAGGAUUUUAGAGAAAUUCUUGCAUAAAAUAUAUGAAAAUAAAACCCUGUUUUGUUUCA
rnacentral:lncRNA from 1 species